rnacentral:rRNA from 1 species
UGACGACCGGCGCACGGGUGCGUAACGCGUAUGCAACCUACCUCUUACAGGGGGAUAGCCCGAAGAAAUUCGGAUUAAUACCCCAUACGAUUAUUGAAUCGCAUGAUUUAAUAAUUAAAGUUCCGGCGGUAAGAGAUGGGCAUGCGUGACAUUAGCUAGUUGGUGAGGUAACGGCUCACCAAGGCAACGAUGUCUAGGGGUUCUAAAAGGAUGAUCCCCCACACUGGUACUGAGACACGGACCAGACUCC